GCCUGUAGCCCCAGCUACUCGGGAGGCUGAGCCAGGAGAAUGGCGUGAACCCGGGAGGCAGAGCUUGCAGUGAGCCGAGAUCGCUCCACGGCACUCCAGCUUGGGCAACAGAGCGAGACUCCAUCUUAAAAAAAAAAAAAAAAAGAAACAUCAGUGGAAGAGGAAGAAACUGAGAGACCAGCAAAGGAGUGAAGGAAGCAGAGCAAGGAAGGAGAAUAAGCUACACAAUGCUGUGAUUACAGGUACAGGAAUAAACUUACGUGAUCCUCAUUUCAAGGAGAAGAAGGAGAAGUUGAAGAAGGAGGAGAAGGAGAAGGAUGAGAAGAAAAACAAGAAGAGGAAGGAGAAGGAGGAGGAAAAUGAGAAGGAGAAGAAGAGAAGGAACAGCAGCAGUUGCAGGAGGAGGAGAAAGAGGAGGAGGAGGAGGAGGGAGUGUGCAGAAGCUGGGGGGGAUUCCAAUGUUGGAAGCAUUUUUAGCGUACAACAACAUCCAAGUGGAUUACUAUGAAUGCCUAGACCUCUAUGGCAAACAGUCUCAAGUCUGGGCCUCCAAAACUUC
rnacentral:lncRNA from 10 species